rnacentral:rRNA from 1 species
UGGGGAAUUUUGGACAAUGGGCGCAAGUCUGACCCAGCCAUGCCGCGUGGAGGAAGACGGCGCUCAGCGUUGUAAACUCCUUUUAUCAGGGAAGAACAGCAGAGAUGCGUUUCUGUGUGACGGUACCUGAAGAAUAAGCACCGGCUAACUACGUGCCAGCAGCCGCGGUAAUACGGAGGGUGCAAGCGUUAUCCGGAAUCAUUGGGUUUAAAGGGUCCGCAGGCGGUCUUAUAAGUCAGUGGUGAAAGCCUACAGCUCAACUGUAGAACUGCCAUUGAUACUGUAAGACUUGAAUUCGAUCGAAGUGGGCGGAAUAUGACAUGUAGCGGUGAAAUGCUUAGAUACCAGGAGGAAUACCGAUUGCGAAGGCAGUCUGCUGCAGUCACACUGACGCUGAGGCUCGAAGGUGCGGGGAUCAAACA